UAGAGUUCAGUAAUAGGUGGCAUACCACAAUCAGCAGAAGUUCUAUCCAGAACGAAAACCUCCUGAACCACGGCGUUCAUAUGGUCCAGUGCGAUCGCGAUUGUAUCGAUCAGUUCCUGGACCUCCACGACUACCAGCAUCCCUGUUACGCCCACCAAACCGAUCUCCAUUUCGAUCAGGACCAUAACGACCCCCACCUCCACCACUGUACCUCUCCUCUCUGCCCCCAUAUCGGCC
rnacentral:lncRNA from 1 species